CCUCCAGCAGCGCCGGGGAGGUGGAGGCAGCUGCGCGGGCACCUUCCUUACCAUGGGCUCCCCUCCCUCUCUCUCCCCGCACCAGGCACAAACCCUGCUUCAGGGCCGCUGAGUGCUCAGUGGGGCCCCCUGGGAGUUACCCGCGAGGUUGGCAGCACAAAGCCGCCCUCUACCCCCUCUGCCAAGUUACCUCCCGCUGCUCCCCAGCUUACUUUCCACUCAUCUCCACUGCUGUCUGCUGCCGCUCAGGUUAAGUUUUUGGGUUGUAGCUGUUUAGGGCCCAGUCCUGCAAUAGGAUCCGCUAGUAGAGACUUCUGCAGUCCUGUGACCUGACAGACUUCACUGAAGUAGAACAGACCCCAGCUUGCAGGCUUAGGACAGUAGAUUUGUAAAAAAGUUUUUGGGGCACAGCCCUCUAGGUCUUCCUCCAGGUUUGUAAGGCACAAUGUUCAGAGGGUGCUGUGUGUUAUUUCAAGUUUAUGAAAACGAUCUGCUCCUUCUCUCAUCAAUUAACAAACAUUAAAGGACAGCUAAUAUAUCAGAUUAUGGGAAUUGGUGGUUAGCAAUUAGAUUGUGCUUUACAUCUUCAAAUCACUUUGCAAACAUUCUUAACACUCCCAUGAGGAAGAUAAAUAUUCCUGUUUUAUCCAAGGAAAACUGAGAUGGAUGUUAAGCCUUUUACUAGUUCUAGAUACAGAAUUGGCUUCAGUUAACAUUUUUUACAUUUGAAAUUUAAAAUCUUUGCUUCCCUCUUUGUUGGAGCACAUAGGCAUGCAGCUGACCCCACAGCUGUAACAUUCCCUAAUCUCUCUGCUUUUCGGAAACUGUUUCCUUCAUCUGGAGGAGGAAGUGAGCCCGCUCAGUUGUGUAUGACAUCACUCUUCAGAUCCUCCACCAGAGAAGGAAAUAAGGAUCUAACAUUUAUGUAAAGACAUUUUAAAAAAUGUCAAGCCUAUCUGCAUCACAGAAAAGUAGUAAAAGAACAAAUUGGAUUUUUGUCUUUGCAUUUCACCUUUAAAAGACUUAUCCAAGGCUACACUGAGUUUAAUUUCAGUCUGCUUAACCAAAUUGUCCUAGCCAACAAACAAGAAAACUAACCUCAAAUCAUAUAUGCAAACUUCUAAACAAGUAGUUUAGAAUUUUCUGAGGAAUCAGUGGCGCUUUAAAUGUAGAUUUCACAUAAAAUCAGUAACUGAUUAUAGCAUUAGUAUUGUAUUUAAACAGCUGAAAUAGAUUCCACAGGGUUAUCAUUGUUUUCCCAGCUCCCUCAGUACUUAAGAUUCCUAAUUUCUUAAAAAUGCAGUUUAAGAAAAACUACACAGUUAAUGUUGGAUUGCCAUAAUUGGCAGAAGCCAGAACAUACUGCCUGAAUAAUGAUGUGAUGACACGUUAUUGGCUGGGUGACAGUAGAUGCCAACUGAAGUGAACACAAGAAAAAAUUCUUUAUAUUUAAUUGGAAAUGCUUGCACUGUGUGGAGCCAGAAAUUUAAAGCUCUCUUUUUUUCUCCCCUUUUUAGUAAAUUUUGUGGCCAACUAAUGAUUUCAUAACCACAGGAAUUGAAAGCCAUGGAUAUCAAGUAUUCAUGCAGUUCGUGGAAGAAACUUCUGUGUGCAGAGUUAGAGAUCGCUAAAGUUACUCCUGGCACAGGUUUCAAUAUUUGCAGUAAAAUUAGUCUGAUGCCAAAAUGUUGUAACCCACCUGGUGCCUGCUACUAGAGAUGAUCUUGAGCCUUAAAUAAUGCAAAAAAAAUUUAAAAAAUCCUCUAACGGCAACUUGCAUAUUUUUAUAAGAUGAAGCAAGUAUCCUCAACACCUAAAUUGGACUAAGCUCUUCAAGCCAUUGCCUGAAGAGAUCAUAUGUCUAGUUCCUAGUGCUUUAAUCACGACAGGGGCCUCCACAUGCUACUACAAUACAAAUAAUGUAGCAGUUAAGAGACUUUCAAGCUUGUUUCAAGGCAUAUUUUGGAUCUUUCAAAUUAGUUGGAGCAGAAAAGGAUUGUGUCUAGUGACUUGUAACAACGUGCCUCAAAUUUAAAGGAAAUGACACAAGAUACAAUUACACAAUUGAUGGGUCUGAGGCUCUCAUUAAUUCGAUCUCUGAUAAUUCUUUACAUGGAAUUGUUCUCGUUCUGGAACCAUUAAGGAUGGGGACCAUAUUUAACAAGGCUCAGGAAUGUAGCACUGCAUCUGGUCACGUUUGGAAGGUUUCGUCACAAUCUCCGGGAUGGAAUGUUUUAUAAAUCUCAAAGUUUAAAUUCUGCAGAAACUAACUGAUCCAUUGGAGCAGUGUUCUUAUUGCGACUGCCCCAUCUACUGUUUUUUUGAGGCUGCAGAUGCUGUUGAAUAUCAUCUGGUGAACAGAGGUGGUCCCAUCUGACUGGCAAAAAGGCAUUAAUUUACCACUUUGGAAAGGCAAAGGCAGCAAAUGAGACUGUUCUAACUAUUGCAGCAGUACUCUUCUGUCUGUCAUGGGGAAAGUUUUUGCUUCUACCUUAUAGGCCCAAACCGCUGAUAUCUUAAGGAUCAAGAGAAGACAACAACAAGCUGGCUUCACUCCCACAGUGGAGCAAAACUUCACAGUGCACCAGCUUAUUAAGAAAGCAUGAGAAUCCGGUUCACAUUGCACUGGUGGAUCUCAAGACUGCAUUUAACUCUCUUGACUGGGAAUUGCUUUGGCUGAUCUUGAAAUUUACGGCAUCUCCAACAAGCUUUGUAGAAUGCUCCAUCUCUGAUGACUCCUCAAGCUGUGUUCUUGUAUAUGGGGAAAGAGCCACCUUCUUACAAAUUAAGUCAGGCAUUCAACCAGGAUGAGCUGUCAUCCCAGAACUCUUCAAUGGCAUCAGAUUAUUUGCUUGGGCCGACACUAAGUAAAUGCAUUUUAGACAUAGGCCUUAAUGAUAAGAACCUCACCAUUGUCCAUUUUGUUGCUGACAUACUGCUAGUGAUUAAAUCAGUGGAUGCGCUAGUUGCCGCAUUUAAAGCUCUGCAAAGCUCAGCAGCAAAAGUUGGCUUGAAAAUUAAUUGGGGUAAAACCAAAAUUCUUCCAGUCAGUGAUUUUGAACAUUUUUCAGGAUCUAGCAGCUUAGUGGGCAACCACCCAGUCGAGGGAGUCAGGUAUUUCACCUUCCUUUGCUCUGUUGAUGACAACAUAGGUGGCAUUGAGAGAGAAAUUGAAGCCCAGCCUGCAAAAGCAUCAUUAGUAAUGGGGCACCUCCUCAAGAGGAUCUUUUGCAAUCAGUAGAGAUAGUCAGAGAGAUUAAGCAGAGGAUAUACACUGCUUCAGUAGUCAGUAAGCUGGUCUUUGGGACUGAAACAUGACCGUUCACUGUCAAGAUUGAAAAGAAGAUGGACACCAUUCAGCUGAAGAAUUUCUGAAUCAUCAAACAGUAUGAAGUCAAGUUGAAUUAAGAGCUCCAUUGUCUAAUUAAACAGGUCCUGGUCUCUCAAACAAUUGGCCAGCACUCUUUGACUCAUGAUAUAUUUGGUGGUCUCUACUCUGUCCUUGUGCCAGCAUAAAAACUAACCAACCUGACUACUUGUUCAGCGUGGCCCUGAUCUCAGCUGUGUUGAAUAGGUUAAGGGGAGAGGCAUAGUGGCAGAACUUUCUUUUCAAAGAGGCUCCAAGCUAGGGUGACCAGAUA